CGGCAGCUGCACAGAGCGAGGGGGAGCGGCGCGGCCGCCAGCAGUGCGGCCUCCGGGUGCCGCCGCCCUCCCCGGGGAGCCUCGGGGACCUCACUCUGGGAAAGCUCUCCCGGGUAACCCCGACCUCCCAGCACGCGGGACGGGCCCGCGCCAGGACUCACCCAGAGGCCGCAUCCUCAGAACAAGCUGGCUAGUGAGAUUAGCCAUACUACAAGCUCUGGAUUUGAUUGAGCCAGUCUGCCUCAGUAAAUAAGCCAGACAGAGGAUGAUUCCAGACAUGGAUUGCCCUGGAUAUGCAUGCCGUCCCAGGUAUAUCUGCACCCACACCACGCAUACAAAUGUGCAUACACACAUGCAGACCACACACACACACACACACAAGGGAGAAAAAUGUUUAUAAUGGUCGAUGUGAUGUUACCUGAGUUUGACUAUUAUGAAAAGGAAUCCAAAUGCGUUAGACCCAGCCAGAGUUCUACACAGCCGCCCUCGCCUUUCAAGCCGCUCAGGUGACAACCGGUUUGCUCCAUGAAAACUACCUGACUUCAGCUUGCUGUCUAUACCCUGAAGAUCCCCAGAGUAACAGCUUGUCCUUCCUCAAGGCUCUUUGCUUAGGAAGAAAGCAAAGAAUAGAACCUGCAAGAUGGCGUAUUCCCUUCCAAUCCUGGCGGCCUGAGUUUGAUCCCAAGAUCCACACGGUAGAGGGAUAGAACUGACUCCUGCAUGUUGGCCUCUGACGUCCAUACAUAUUCCUUAGCAUGUGUGUAUCUCUCCUCUCUCGAAAAAUAAUAAGAAAAUGCAAUAAAAUAGAGAAAGAG
rnacentral:lncRNA from 1 species